UAUGAAACAUAAAGAAGUGGAGUUCCACGUCAACUUUUUCUUUGUUCUUUUUUGGGCAAGGAGAUAAUACAAAUUGUCAUUAUCAUUUAAUCACAUUCUUGUUUUCUUCAGCAACAUGUGUAUUUAUGUUUUUUGCUGCUAAACCCAAGAAAACUAAACUGAUUGUAGUAGUCCUAGUAUCUUUUUAAAGAUACAAUCGAAAAGCAAGUUGUGUAAUUCUUGGGAAAAUGGGAGAAGAAACUGAGGUGAUCCAUUCAUGGUCUGCACCAAGGUCUCUAAGUACCAGCCUCAUGUACUCUUUUGCCCAGAGAAAUGACAUCGAAGUUCUUGAUGAACCACUGUAUGCACAUUUUCUGCGGGUCACUGGAGCGGAUAGACCUUACAAGGAAGAACUUAGGUCCAAAAUGGAAAACGAUGGAAAUAAAGUGGUGAAGGAGGUCAUCUUUGGUGCCGGAACAAAAAAGUACCGCUAUUGUAAGCAUAUAGCCAAACAACGUGUGCCAGGUUUGACAAAUGAACUGAUGAAGAGAGGAAAGCACUUCAUCCUGAUAAGGAAUCCCCUUGAUAUCUUGCCAUCUUUUGAUAAGGUUGUGCCUCCAUCCUUUCUUGAGCUGGGGUUGGCAGAGCUGGUCUCCAUAUACAGUGAGCUAUCUGAAUUAGGAAAGCCCCCACCAGUUAUUGAUGCUGCAGAUAUUCAAGAAAAUCCUGAGGCGGCCCUCCGUGGCCUUUGUGAAGACCUUGACAUUCCAUUUCAAGAUUCAAUGCUCAGGUGGGAAGCUGGGCCAAAAUCAUUUGAUGGCAUAUGGGCACCAUGGUGGUAUAAAAGUGUGCAUAAGUCAACAGGUUUUGCUCCUGCAAAGAAAUACCCUACGCGAUUUCCAACAUCAUUGUAUGAUUUGCUGGAGCAAAGCCUACCCUUUUACAACAUGCUUAAGCGUCACGCAAGACGAUCUUCUUAUAUCCUGAACUCAACUUCACCUCAUCCCAGUCUUCCUGUUCCUGCUAAUGAGAAGCUGCUUGCAUGGGUUGGUGAUGAGAUUGUGCCCCGUGAGACUGCCAAGGUUUCAGUGUUUGAUUCAGUUGUCCAAGGUGGUGAUGCAGUAUGGGAGGGGCUUCGAGUGUACAGUGGGAAGCUAUUUAAGCUUGAGGAGCAUUUAGAUAGGUUGUUCGACUCGGCAAAAGCACUAGCGUUCAGCAAUGUACCAACUCGUGAGGAGGUCAAAGAAGCUAUUUUCAAGACUCUUUUAACAAAUGGAAUGUAUGAUAAUGCACAUAUCCGACUAACUUUGACACGUGGUAAAAAGGUAACCUCAGGAAUGAGCCCUGCAUUCAAUCGAUAUGGAUGUACUUUAAUUGUUCUUGCUGAAUGGAAACCUCCAGUCUAUGACAAUGAAAAGGGCAUAAUGUUAGUGACGGCAACGACUCGUCGUAAUUCACCAAAUAAUUUGGAUUCAAAGAUUCACCAUAACAACCUUCUCAACAACAUUCUCGCAAAGAUAGAAGGAAAUAAUGCUGGGGCUGAUGAUGCCGUCAUGCUUGAUAAAGAUGGCUACGUGUCAGAAACUAAUGCUACAAAUAUAUUCUUAGUGAAGAAAGGGCGCGUGGUGACACCUCAUGCUGAUUAUUGCCUUCCUGGCAUAACAAGAGCAACAGUCAUGGAGCUUGUGCUGAAGGAAAAUUUAGUUUUAGAGGAGCGACGAAUUAGCUUAUCAGAAUUUCACACUGCCGAUGAGGUGUGGACAACAGGAACUAUGGGGGAGCUUAGCCCGGUUGUCAAGAUUGAUGGACGUAUAAUUGGUGACGGUCGAGUGGGACCUAUAACACAGAGACUGCAAAAUGCUUACAAGAAGCUGGCAGAAGAAUCAGGAGUGUUUAUACCGACCCAUCAAAAGAGCUAAAUAGAUAGUUUCCAGAUGUCCAAUAAAGAACUGGAGAUCUAAGGGAUGUUCUUCCAUCUCUACGAAAAUUUCAUGUAAUAAUGUGGUCACCUUGUUUUCACAUCUCCCCUACAGCAAUGCCAUUGGAGCGUCUUCUCGUGACUUAUCAAUUGUUCAAGUUCGUUGUGUUAGCUUAUCUAUUCUUCUUGAAUUUGUCUCAAAUUGCCUGAGGAGUUUGAAGGGUUCAUGAGUUGUCAUUAGGAAAGCGAUCCAUUGAAUGCAUAUGAGUGGCAACAAAUUGUUAUUUUCCUAUCAUAAAAUAAGAACUGUGACAUAAUUUAGAUAUAAAAGUCAUGGAAUACUUGUACUCAAAAGAGUUCAAGAAAAAUACAAGCCAAGAUAUAGAGGGGAGAGGGCUGACAGAAAAAACAAGUCAAUGUACCCGUAUAACCAUGUAGGAUACAAGUUUUCUUCUUUUCGAGUUAUGCUUUGCACCCCUAUAUAGACCGAUGUGACACCCUAGGUAAAUCUCACAUCCACAAAAUACGAGAGAGAUGUUGGGUAUAUAAGUAGACAGGUCUUAAAUUCUAGUGACGCGGUUUAUAGCCGUGCGGGCCUAGGCCUAAAUAUGUGACACCCUAGGCAAAUUCUACAUCGACAAAACACGGAAGAGAUAUUGGGUAUAUAAGUAGACAGGCCUUAGACUCUAGUGACGCAUUUUAACCUGCGAGCCUAGGCUCAAAGCGGACAAGUCUAGGCCCAAAGCGGACAAUAUUACAAGUGGGUUGGGCUGUUGCAGAUUUGCACGUUUCCCGGGAUUAUUUUCCCAUUUAAAAACAUUUAACUCAUAAAUUCUGCUGAAUUUAAAGAAUUGAAAAUGGUGAGAAAUUUGUUAAAUCAAAACAUUGCAUGUUCACGUGAUGACAUUGUGCAGGAUUGAUUAUUUUGUCUCACAGUACCCACUCUGAUAAAUGCUUAACUAAUGCUACGAUGGCAUUAUUAUAAGUUCCACUAGAUACUUUUUGUCUCUAAAGAUAUCAAAUAAAAUUGAAUAUUUUACUAUAAUGGGUGGCUAUAAAUGCAACUAUUAAUCAAGAGAUAACAACACUACCAUAAAAUAUAUUCUUCCCCAUUCAUCACAAAUGGUUCCACAACUGAAAUUUGCGUUUUUCUUGAUUGCCGUCCUUGUUGCAACUACUGUUGGCUCACCAAAAGUGCAAGUAAUGGCAGUGCGAGACAUUAUAGGCAUGGAUGUUGGAGUGAUUGAGCUGAAACUUGUUCAAGUUGGUAAAAGAACAACGUGCAAUAGACCAUGCGGAUCAGACGUUGAUUGUGGUGACGGUUCGUUGUGCAUUAGGUGUAAGCCUACAUCUAAACCGGGGGAUUGGUCUUGUCAAAAGUGACUGACAAAUAAAGACAGAAGAAUUGGACUAGCUUAGCUAAAUAUGGUAAAUUUUGCAGUUGGCUUUGCUGCUUACUGCAAAAAUGUAUCUCUUGUUUGUGUGAUCACAUCACCAUGUCAAUGUUUGAGUGUACGUUCAAAUAAUUGCUAUCCCCCUAUCUAGAUCUGUCUUGUUUUGUUUGCGUACCUAUUUUCUUUUUGGGUCUUUAAUUCGUGUAACAGUUAACUAGUGACCUUAUUUCCCACUGUAUAUGGGAAAAAUAAAUAUAUAUCUACCAGUUCAAGCAAGACUA